rnacentral:rRNA from 1 species
AGCGAACGCUGGCGGCAGGCUUAAUACAUGCAAGUCGAGCGGGCAUCCUUGUGGUGUCAGCGGCAGACGGGUGAGUAACGCGUGGGAACGUGCCCUUCGGUUCGGAAUAACUCAGGGAAACUUGAGCUAAUACCGGAUACGUGCGAGAGCAGAAAGGUUUAUCUGCCGAAGGAUCGGCCCGCGUCUGAUUAGCUAGUUGGUGAGGUUAUGGCUCACCAAGGCGACGAUCAGUAGCUGGUCUGAGAGGAUGAUCAGCCACACUGGGACUGAGACACGGCCCAGACUCCUACGGGAGGCAGCAGUGGGGAAUAUUGGACAAUGGGGGCAACCCUGAUCCAGCCAUGCCGCGUGAGUGAUGACGGCCUUAGGGUUGUAAAGCUCUUUUCUCCGGGACGAUAAUGACGGUACCGGAGGAAUAAGCCCCGGCUAACUUCGUG